UAACAGGAGACAGGUCUGGCUACACACGUCGGGGGCACGUACCCCACGGUCCUGUCAGAGCUGAUGUGGGCCCUGGGCUGAGCAGAUGGUGCUGCUGGUGAAGAAGGACAGGCUGUGGUGUCCUUGACAGGGCGCUCAGGGGACAGCUGGGCCCUGUGGCCAGGCUGGGGACCAGGCCCCAUCUGCUCUCCUGCCGCCCUGGAGCAGAAUGACCCAGUCCCAAGGGGCUGCACGGGCAGGCCCUCCAUCUGCAAUCAGCUUCCCUGGAGCCUGGGCUCGUGUUUACCCCCCAUCACAGGAUGUCUGAGGCCAAGAGGGCCGUGUCCCUCAUCCUAUUGGCCCAGCUGUCUUCAAACCACGCGGGACCAGAAGGGGGCACCCUAAGUGGUUCCUCUGGAACUCCCCUGGCUGCAGCUGUGCUGCUGCCCCCUAGGAUGGGGGGGGGCAGUAGGGAGCCCAUUCCUGGGAUGUUUCUGGGUGGGUGUGUCUGCUGAGCCCCCACGAGGAGCCCUCGACCUGGCCCAGGAAUGCAGGCGGGUACACCCACCUCCUCCACCCCAUUUUUUCAGCACUGGGCAGGCUGAAAGGAGGAAGAUGGAACCUCUGGGCAGAAAGGAAUUUUGCUUCAGAGUGCUGAGCCCAGCCAGAGGCACAAAGGCCCUGCCUUUGUGUGGCUGAGUCCACCCCUAAGCACAGCAUGCAGAACAUGGGGUACGUGCUUGUACCUCAGAUCCCAGCCCAGGUAGGGGUGAAAAGCUGGAUGGGGAGGGUGUGUGGGUUGUGGAGGGAAUCUGGGCUCCUCCUAGGGCUGGCUCAGUGCUACCUCCUAUGGAUCCCCCCAAGGCCCUGAUUCUGGAUAGGGAGACCUUCAGAGCAGACCACACCAGGUGUCAUGAUUCAUCAGCAGAAUAUUUUGGGAAGAAUUCGCAAUAGCAAUUAUAGCCCCUGCCCAGGAGUCCAGAGACUUGGCUUCUUAUCUAAGCUCAGAUAUUAUCACUUACUGGAAAAUUGUGGAGCACUCACAUAACCUCCCAGUAUCCCAGGUUCUUCAUCUGAAUAGCAAACCAGUGCUCAAACCCCAGGGACCUCACCCCAAACUCACAGGCAGAAUCACCGUCCUUGGAGGACAGAAGCACACAGAGGGAGACUUAAGGUUGGCUGGCCCAGACCUUGAAAGUAACAUCAGGGGCUGAGCCAUCCUCCUGGGGGGCAGGCGCAGAGCAACACCCCAGCUUGGCCCUUCACAGAACUCUGCAACUGCCAAGAGCCAAGUGAGGGGAAAACACUGCCCAG